GAGGGUGGUAGCUCAGUGGUUAAGCCUUCUGGCUACCGAUCAGAAGGUUAUGAGUUAAAACCCCAGCACUGUCA